rnacentral:rRNA from 1 species
AACGAACGCUGGCGGCAGGCCUAACACAUGCAAGUCGAACGCUCCGCAAGGAGAGUGGCAGACGGGUGAGUAACACGUGGGAAUCUUCCUAUCGGUGGGGAAUAGCUCAGGGAAACUUGGGGUAAUACCGCAUACGCCCGUAAGGGGAAAGAUUUAUCGCCGAUAGAUGAGCCCGCGUCUGAUUAGCUAGUUGGUGGGGUAAUGGCCCACCAAGGCGACGAUCAGUAGCUAGUUUGAGAGAAUGACCAGCCACGCUGGGACUGAGACACGGCCCAGACUCCUACGGGAGGCAGCAGUGGGGAAUCUUGGACAAUGGGCGCAAGCCUGAUCCAGCCAUGCCGCGUGAGUGACGAAGGUCUUCGGAUUGUAAAGCUCUUUUAGCAGGGACGAUAAUGACGGUACCUGCAGAAUAAGCCCCGGCUAACUUCGUGCCAGCAGCCGCCGUAA